UUUUAGUGUGUGCACUUACAGCCAGUUAGAUACUCUGCAUGCUUGUAUCUCACAUGUCACAUGAGCAUCUUGGUUAUGUACUCCUUUUAACUGCAUCUUUUGUUUCCUGGAAUGACACAAAAUAUGUAUGGAGACAUUCUUUGCAGGAAGGAGGGAGAAUUGCACAAUUGAUUUUGAUCCUCGACUUGACUAGCUGAAAUUGCUCUCACUGUAUAGAUUUUUCGUUGAUGAAGACCUGUACGACCCUUGAAUAGAAAGAUGAUGUAUCAGAAGUUAGAGCAACUAAUUUCCUUGUUUUGAUGCUGAGUAUGUGCAUAUUCUCAAUCUUUAAGAAAAGGAAAUGGUAAAAUACAUUCGCAUUCUUCAGAAAAGAAAAUGGUACAGGUAUUUUCUCUUUCUUCUUCUUGCCUUGUAUGAGUGGCUUCUCCUUUAAAUUUUUUCAUUUUCUUAACAGGUCAGUUUCUAAAUAUAGAGUGUCAUGGAUGACUUCCUAGGGAUUCCUUUUCUUUUUAUCCUUUAGCUGUAUGAGAAUUGAUUCGUUAGGCUGCUCUUCUACGUUUAUGCACAAAAUUAUAAGUAGGCGUCAGGAGCAGAGAUUACAGUAGCAAAGAAGGAAAGAGAAACAAUGGAUACAUUAAUAGAUUUCCAAUCUGAUGCAUUAAAUCAGAUAUUUGGUCAUUCAGGGGAAACUUAUAAUGUUCAGUGAUGUGCUCUUUCCUUAAGAGGGGAAGUUACGAUUUAAGAAGUUCAAAUCUGAGCUAAUUGAAAUGCAUUUCAGAAAUACUCUUCAGUUUUAAGCAUUAUACAGAGGCUACGAUGCAUGAUGGUACAUUGACCUUCAGAUCUGUAGAUCCACUGCCCUAUAUUUCAAUCUUCUUCUCUUCUCUGACUUGCAUUGGUUACUUCUCAGCAGUCUUGUGAUGUUGCUUUAUCUGAAAUUUAUUGUGAUUUCUUUUUGUGGCAGAAAGUGUUCUGAUCUUCCUGAAAGCUAUCAAGGACAGGUAGUAUAUUUGGCAUUGAGGUUCUGAUCUGAAUAUUUUUGUUCAACUUUCGAAGGGCAUCUAAUCAGAUAACAGUUGACAUUUUUGUGUCUUUCGUGAUAGGUAGCUUGGCCACAAAAGAGUAGCAAUUAUGACUAUGUACCCAAAGUGUCUGAUAUGGCACGUAGACAUAAUUUGCUAAUCGGACUCUGGUAAGCUAACCAAGGACCUACACUUGAACUGGUGAAAGUGUUAAAUUUUUGGGGUUGCUUGACGCCCACUGGAUUUCACCUCUUUCUAUAAUGGUGACUAACUGAUUUUUGACACCUGACGUUCCUAGAGGCAUACCAUCAGAAAAACUUCCUUGACCGAUUGGGUAGAUCAAGAAAACUGCAGUAGCAGUUGCAACAGGAGCUGAAUAUGCAACAGCAAUCCAAGGUGGCAUACCCAGACGGAAGCUAAGCUCCCACUCACGAC
rnacentral:lncRNA from 1 species